UACGGAGGAUUCAAGCGUUAUCCGGAUUUAUUGGGUUUAAAGGGUGCGUAGGCGGUCGGAUAAGUUAGAGGUGAAAUCCCGAGGCUCAACUUCGGAAUUGCCUCUGAUACUGUUCGGCUAGAGAGUAGUUGCGGUAGGCGGAAUGUAUGGUGUAGCGGUGAAAUGCAUAGAUAUCGAGAGGAACACUCGUGGCGAAGGCGGGUUCCUGGACAUUAACUGACGCUGAGGCACGAAGGCCAGGGGAGCGAAAGGG
rnacentral:rRNA from 1 species